rnacentral:rRNA from 1 species
CCUGGCUCAGAUUGAACGCUGGCGGCAGGCCUAACACAUGCAAGUCGAGCGGUAACAGGAAAGCGCUUGCGCUUUUGCUGACGAGCGGCGGACGGGUGAGUAAUGUCUGGGGAUCUCCCCGAGGGCGGGGGAUAACCACUGGAAACGGUGGCUAAUACCGCAUAAUGUCGCGAGACCAAAGUGGGGGACCUGAAGGGCCUCACGCCGUCGGAUGAACCCAGAUGGGAUUAGCUAGUAGGUAGGGUAAAGGCCUACCUAGGCGACGAUCCCUAGCUGGUCUGAGAGGAUGACCAGCCACACUGGGACUGAGACACGGCCCAGACUCCUACGGGAGGCAGCAGUGGGGAAUAUUGCACAAUGGGCGCAAGCCUGAUGCAGCCAUGCCGCGUGUAUGAAGAAGGCCUUCGGGUUGUAAAGUACUUUCAGCGGGAGGAAGGGUUCAGCUUGAACAGAGCUGAAUUUUGACGUUACCCGCAGAAGAAGCACCGGCUAACUCCGUGCCAGCAGCCGCGGUAAUACGGAGGGUGCAAGCGUUAAUCGGAAUGACUGGGCGUAAAGCGCACGCAGGCGGUAAUUAAGUUAGAUGUGAAAUCCCCGGGCUCAACCUGGGAAUGGCAUCUAAGACUGGUUGGCUGGAGUCUCGUAGAGGGGGGUAGAAUUCCAUGUGUAGCGGUGAAAUGCGUAGAGAUGUGGAGGAAUACCGGUGGCGAAGGCGGCCCCCUGGACGAAGACUGAC